rnacentral:rRNA from 1 species
CCCUUAGAUGUUCUGGGCCACACGCGCGCUACACUGAUGCAUUCAACGAGCCUAUCCUUGACCGACAGGUCCGGGUAAUCUUUGAAUCUGCAUCGUGACGGGGAUAGAUUAUUGCAAUUAUUAAUCUUCAACGAGGAAUGCCUAGUAGGCGCAAGUCAUCAGCUUGCGUCGAUUACGUCCCUGCCCUUUGUACACACCGCCCGUCGCUCCUACCGAUUGGGUGUGCUGGUGAAAUGUUCGGAUCGGCCGUUUGUCGCGGUUUCCGCGGCUCGUGGCUGAGAAGUUCAUUAAACCCUCCCACCGAGAGGAAGGAGAAGUCGUAACA